rnacentral:rRNA from 1 species
UACAGAGGGUGCAAGCGUUGUUCGGAAUUAUUGGGCGUAAAGGGCGCGUAGGCGGUGCGGUAAGUCUGCAGUGAAAUCUCUGGGCUCAACUCAGAGUCUGCUGUAGAAACUGCCGUGCUUGAGUGUGGGAGAGGUGAGUGGAAUUCCCGGUGUAGCGGUGAAAUGCGUAGAUAUCAGGAGGAACACCUGUGGCGAAAGCGGCUCACUGGACCAUAACUGACGCUGAUGCACGAAAGCUAGGGGAGCAAACAGG